UCUUUCUUUCCUCCAAAGCAUCAACGCAGUACAAUUUCAUAUGAGAAGAGAGGCUACAGCUUCUGGGAAAACUUGGAAUGGAGCUGCAUCCUUGGCCAACCUGCCAAUACAUGAGGAUGCACUGAAAAUUGGCAGGAUGGAGCCAAUGUCAGGCUGUCACUGAUGGACUUGAUGGCAAAGAAGGGGAGUUCAGAGCAUGGCCAGUUGGUCAAUCUGAAAAUUCUUCCAACACACUCUGGUGGCAGGCUGUAGGAGUAGAAGAGAUUCUUGGUCAAACACGAUGGAAAGAAUGUUGGAGCCUCGACCGUCACCAAUCAGCGCUCCCUGUAUGUGAAAGUGCAUGUUCCUACAGCAGCCAGACUUCUCGAGUGAUCUGUAACCCACCAGCCACAACAUGUCCACUGGAAAAGUGGUUAAGCUCAAGGGAAACUCACACGCUGCAGGCCAAUGAGUGGAUGCAGGCACACACUUCUGGAUAUGACAAAUUUGAAAAACACUAAUCAAAUAGUUACCUUGAUGGCUGAACACUGCAUUCA